rnacentral:misc_RNA from 1 species
GAAAUGCGAUAAGUAGUGUGAAUUGCAGAAUUCAGUGAAUCAUCGAAUCUUUGAACGCACAUUGUGCCCCUCGGUAUUCCGUGGGGCAUGCCUGUUCGAGCGUCAUCUACACCCUCAAGCUCUGCUUGGUGUUGGGCGUCUGUCCCGCCUCCGCGCGCGGACUCGCCCCAAAUGCAUUGGCAGCGGUUCCUUGCCCCCCUCUUUGCGCAGCACAUUGCCAUUCGAGGCGGCGGCGGCCCGCGUCCAACAAGCUCAACCCCCCCGUCUUUGACCUCGGAUCAGGUAGGGAUACCCGCUGAACUUAAGC